UGAGGGAUAUUGGUCAAUGGGCGCAAGCCUGAACCAGCGACGCCGCGUGGGUGAAGAAGGUCUUCGGAUCGUAAAGCCCUUUUCCCACUGAAGAGGAAGGACGGUAGGUGGGGAAGAAGUCUCGGCUAACUACGUGCCAGCAGCCGCGGUAAAACGUAGGAGACAAGCGUUAUCCGGAGUUACUGGGCGUGAAGGGCGUGCAGGUGGCGUCUUAAGUCUGUUGUGAAAGCGCCUGGCUUAACCGGGCGAGGCCAAUGGAGACUGAGAGGCUGGAGGACGGCGGAGGGGUGUGGAAUUCCGGGUGUAGUGGUGAAAUGCGUAGAGAUCCGGAGGAACACCAGAGGCGAAGGCGGCACCCUAAGCCGUACCUGACACUGAGACGCGACAGCACGGGGAGCAAACG
rnacentral:rRNA from 1 species